rnacentral:rRNA from 1 species
UACGUAGGGUGCAAGCGUUAAUCGGAAUUACUGGGCGUAAAGCGUGCGCAGGCGGCUUUUGCAAGACAGAUGUGAAAUCCCCGGGCUUAACCUGGGAACUGCAUUUGUGACUGCAAGGCUGGAGUGCGGCAGAGGGGGGAUGGAAUUCCGCGUGUAGCAGUGAAAUGCGCAGAUAUCAGGAAGAACACCAAUGGCGAAAGCAGCUUUCUGGGACGGUGACUGACGCUGAGGUGCGAAAGCGUGGGGAGCGAACAGG